rnacentral:ncRNA from 1 species
UUAAAUGCGUUGAAAAAGAGGAGUAUGCAUAGGUCGUUCUGACAGAGAGAGAUGCCCAUUGGCUGCGAGGCACUUGAGAAUAGAGAUGCAGAAGGUAGCUUUGGAGCAGGAACGCUGAAGUCACAGUAGGCGGUCCCGGAGUCGUUCCCGUUAAAGAAUAGGAUGAGAUGUAUAGAGGAGUUUCUUCUAUAUAAUAAAGGUGGUACCGCGAAUCAAUCGCCCUUUGU